GGUAACACUAACUGGAGGACCGAACCGACUAAUGUUGAAAAAUUAGCGGAUGACUUGUGGCUGGGGGUGAAAGGCCAAUCAAACCGGGAGAUAGCUGGUUCUCCCCGAAAGCUAUUUAGGUAGCGCCUCGUGAAUUCAUCUCCGGGGGUAGAGCACUGUUUCGGCAAGGGGGUCAUCCCGACUUACCAACCCGAUGCAAACUGCGAAUACCGGAGAAUGUUAUCACGGGAGACACACGGCGGGUGCUAACGUCCGUCGUGAAGAGGGAAACAACCCAGACCGCCAGCUAAGGUCCCAAAGUCAUGGUUAAGUGGGAAACGAUGUGGGAAGGCCCAGACAGCCAGGAUGUUGGCUUAGAAGCAGCCAUCAUUUAAAGAAAGCGUAAUAGCUCACUGGUCGAGUCGGCCUGCGCGGAAGAUGUAACGGGGCUAAACCAUG
rnacentral:rRNA from 1 species